CUACUUGGAUACCGUGGUAAUUCUAGAGCUAAUACAUGCUAAAAACCUCGACUUCGGAAGGGGUGUAUUUAUUAGAUAAAAAACCAAUGCCCUUCGGGGCUCCCUGGUGAUUCAUAAUAACUUAACGAAUCGCAUGGCCUUGUGCCGGCGAUGGUUCAUUCAAAUUUCUGCCCUAUCAACUUUCGAUGGUAGAGUAGUGGUCUACCAUGGUUUCAACGGGUAACGGGGAAUUAGGGUUCUAUUCCGGAGAGGGAGCCUGAGAACGGCNUACCACAUCCAAGGAAGGCAGCAGGCGCGCAAAUUACCCAAUCCCGACACGGGG
rnacentral:rRNA from 1 species